UCUAACUUUUCUCUGUUGUAUGAGAUUUCUGCUCUGAUUUAUGUUAAAACUCUUAUCACUGUUUGCAUUGUGAAGUCAUUAAGCUGUUUAUUGUCCGUGUGUUUGUUCUUAAUUAUAUUGCUUUAAGUUUUUCCUUCUAAUUGCUAAAAGAAAAUCAUAUCUUUAAAGUCCCUGAGGUGCGUAAAAGAGAUGUUGCAGAAGAGAAAGUACCAGCCGUUGUUCCCAAGCCCAAAGAACCACCUCCAAGUAAAGUGCCUGAAAUACCCAAGAAACCCAUUCGGAAAGUCCCUGCUCCGGCUCCUGCUCCUGUUCCUGCAGCAGAGAAAUAUGAAUAUGCAUAUGAAGAGUAUGAGAAGUAUGAGACGUAUGAAAGUAUUGAAGAAUUUGAGGGGGUUCAGGAAACUGAAGAAAUUGAAGCAUAUGAGGAACCUGAAUUACCUGAGAGAUACAGAGAAAUCCAGGAACAGGAGUAUGAACUGGAGGCUGAAGAGAAAGAAGAUAUCUAUGAGAAGUAUGAGUUUAGGGAGAAAGAAGAAAUCUAUGAGAAAUAUGAGGAAGCAUAUCAGGAAACUUAUGAAAUCCCACCAGCUAUAGGUACAUCAUGUCAUGAUUUCUUUAUUGUUAUUAUUGCUGUUUAAGAUUCCAGCUACUGCUUAAGCCUCCUUCUUUUUAUUUAUCCCGUUUGUACUACUCUGUCUGUCUGCAGCUGAUGAUAAAUCCAUUCCCUAUUACUAAGGAAUUCUCUCCAGAGUGGAAUGGAAAGAUUGAACCAGUGUAGAUGUGAUACAAACAAAGUAAAUGAUACUUUUCUGAUGCAAUUCAGCUUCAGUCUGGAUCUCAAUACUAUUAUGUAUCAAUGUGUUUCUUUUGUACAUUUUAGUUCCAAUGAAUGAUGGAGCUGUUAAAAUUCAAGCAAAGCUUUCCUUCUUAUCUUUUGUAUGUGUGAUCAUAAGAUCAUAGGAUCCACCAUGCCAAUCAAAACUGUAUCUGAAAUGUACCAGAAAGAUGUACACUUAUAUUCCUUAGCUACCAUCAAGUUCUGAGACUAGUGGCUGUUCUCUUGACAGCAUAGAUAAUUAUUCUAAAUUAAGUGAUUAUUCUGCUUUCUGACUUUGUAUCUGUUGUAUCUUCCUCAAAACUAACUUAAAAUCCGUAUUGAAAUAUUUCUUAAAGAACCUGAGGUGCCUAAAAGACCUCUGCCAGAAGAAAAAGUACCUGUUCCUGUUCCAAAAAAAGAAGCUCCGCCAGCUAAAGGUACAUGAGCUUUAAGAGGAAUUUGAAAACGCAGUCUUCUGUCUUCUCAGAAUCCCCAAAAGCAGUAAAUUACCUAUUCUGAUUCGGCAAAUACCUAAUUUUUUUCUCAGUACUGUCAAAGACUGGGAUUAAGGUACUUAAUUAUUAAAGAUGAAUACUUAUUUAACAAAUCAAAACUUGGACAAAUUCUUUCUGAGGGCAAAGGCAUUUGGAGGAGGACCUCCAAGAUUUAAUUUUUGCCUGUCAGAGUAUUAACAACAUUUCAUAUCUAAGUAUUGAAAACAAGUAGAUGUAUAAAUUAAAAGAAGUCUAUCAAGCAGUCAAACCAUUUUCCCACAGAAUCCCAGAAGACAAUUACUUUCUUCAACCUAACUAUAUGCUGGAGUGGAUUUGAUAUUGAUAUGUGUUCUCAGUGUCAGUCUCCACAAAGACUGUGUUAUGAACAGCAAUGAUCAGCGCACGUUAGAAGAGUUCCUGUUGUAAUUCAGAGUUCUUUACUUUUCUCUUCAGAGCUCUUAAUUUGUGAGAAACUCACCCUGUGGUCAGUUUUUUAUUAAGGCCAAUCCCACUCUAUUGAGUUUACCAAACAGCUGUGUGAAUCCAUGCAAAACACAUGAGGAGGAUAGCUCUUAAGGCUACCACUCAAUAGCAACCAAAGGCACUCUAUUUUGUGUUUUUCUAAUUCUAACUGUUCUUUUCUGACUCAUUGCACUGUUUGCAUUUUUUUUAAUGCUUAUUCUUAUGUACUGUUACUACUGCAAAAAUUCUUAAAAACGUUACAAAUGUCUUUAAAGUGCCAGCACUGCCAAAGAAACCUGUUCCAAAGGAGAAAGUACCCGCUGUUCCUAAAAAGGAAACGGUUCCACCAGCUGAAGGUAUAUUUCCUCUGUGUUGUCCUCAUUGAGUCAUGAACUCUGAUUUCAGUCUUUUGUUUUCAUUAUUCGUUGAGAAAUACGUAUCUGUGUUUUAUGUCUCUGUGAAGCUCUACUCAGUUGUUUGUGAUUGAGUCAUUUUCGGCCUGUUUGUUUUCAAGUCAUUUGUUGAAAAGACAUGAGUGUUGCUUUGAAAAAUAUGUGCCUCAUUCUUUAAGUUCAGAAGUAAGAGUAGUUUUGGUCUUCCUGAAAAGGACGUAGAUUCCAUCAGCUAAAACUAAGUCUGUCUUUCAAGAAAAUGUUUUAAGUAUGUUAUUCUUCUGUCUAAUCUUCAGAAUUAACAUAAAUAUUCUGUCAAGAAGCAUUUAAUCCUUCGUUGCUUCAUGAAUCUGUCUUAGAUUUGCUUUU